rnacentral:tRNA from 1 species
GGAGGCAUAGCUCAGCCGGUUAGAGCGCAUGCUUCACACGCAUGAGGUCACAGGUUCGAGUCCUGUUGUCUCCACCA